CAGAUUUUUCUCAUAUUGAAACAUUGAAAUCAGAUAGCGAAUACAAGGCAAUUGCCACAAUCUGCCAACUCAGUGCUUAACUAUGAGAAGCAUGGAAUCCAGUGCUUCUUAAAGAGAAACAUUGCACACACACAAUGCAGGCCACAUAAUAAGUGCUCAUGCUGGACAUCAAACACAUUCUAAAACGGAAUCUAUUUGAUUCUGAAGCCCUAGCCUGUCUCUCUGACAACCACUAGGAGGUGUGGAAACUGCAAAAUAUAAAGAGUGCUGUUUCACAGAAUGUUUUCAUUUGCAAGGCUGCAGAGGUAGCAUCGGAGCGCCCCAAAAUGUCUU